rnacentral:rRNA from 1 species
AUUGAACGCUGGCGGCAUGCCUCACACAUGCAAGUCGAACGGCAGCGCGGACUUCGGUCUGGCGGCGAGUGGCGAACGGGUGAGUAAUGUAUCGGAACGUACCAUUCAGUGGGGGAUAACGCAGCGAAAGUUGCGCUAAUACCGCAUAUUCUGUGCGCAGGAAAGCAGGGGAUCGCAAGACCUUGCGCUGAUUGAGCGGCCGAUAUCAGAUUAGCUAGUUGGUGAGGUAAAGGCUCACCAAGGCGACGAUCUGUAGCGGGUCUGAGAGGAUGAUCCGCCACACUGGAACUGAGACACGGUCCAGACUCCUACGGGAGGCAGCGGUGGGGAAUUUUGGACAAUGGGCGCAAGCCUGAUCCAGCCAUGCCGCGUGAGUGAAGAAGGCCUUCGGGUUGUAAAGCUCUUUCGGCCGGGAAGAAAUCGUAUGGGUUAAUACCCUGUGCGGAUGACGGUACCGGCAUAAGAAGCACCGGCUAACUACGUGCCAGCCGCCGCCGUAACAC